GUGAGGGCCAUGUAAUAUUCCUUUCACACUUUUACGCAUGGCACUAAAUUGAGUUUUUUCUGCGUGAUCAGUAAGGGGGCCUCACACAAAUAGUAGCCUAGGGGCCAAUGACCACCUUAAUCCACCACUGGUGAUGACAUGUAAUGAACCCAAUGUUCAUAUUUUAUUCACAUUUUUAUUUUAUUUAUAAAGGAAACACAGAAACAGAGGUCGGAGUGUUGCGGUAAGUUCUUGUUCCACAUGUUUCACUGUGUUAAUGAGUAACAGAUCAUUUAUUAAUAUCCAGUGAUGUGCAAGGGUUACUGACUCACACCAAGUCAAAUGAUAUCGCUGUGAUUCAAAACAUUUCUAAUUGUAGCAGAGAGUCAGAGCCUUUAGCAGAGGGACCAGAGUGGCAGACCUACUGAACAACAUCUUCUAGAUAUUAUAUUAUAGAAUGGAGCUAUCCAUGUAUAUAAGACACUACUCUCAUA
ensembl:lncRNA